rnacentral:misc_RNA from 1 species
UCCUGUGUAGCCAGCUCCC